CACGUAGUUAGCGUGGCUUUCUGAUUAGGUACCGUCAAGAUGUGCACAGUUACUUACACAUUUGUUCUUCCCUAAUAACAGAGUUUUACGAGCCGAAACCCUUCAUCACUCACGCGGCGUUGCUCCGUCAGGCUUUCGCCCAUUGCGGAAGAUUCCCUACUGCUGCCUCCCGGUAGGAGUCUGGACCGUGUCUCAGUUCCAGUGUGGCCGAUCACCCUCUCAGGUCGGCUACGUAUCGUCGCCUUGGUAAGCCGUUACCUUACCAACUAGCUAAUACGGCGCGGGUCCAUCUAUAAGUGAUAGCAAACCAUCUUUCACUUUAGAACCAUGCGGUUCUAAACUGUUAUCCGGUAUUAGCUCCGGUUUCCCGAACGUUAUCCACGUCUUAUAGGUACGGUUACCCUACGUGUUACUCACCCGUCCGCCGCUAACUCAAGAGCAGCUCCUUAUCUGUCGCUCGACUUGCAUGUAUUACGGCACCGCCGCCCAGCCGUCACUCCUGACGCCGACGGAUCAACUACUCUACG
rnacentral:rRNA from 1 species